UCCUCCUAGUCAGCCCCUGUUCUAUUAUCUGGAUCGGCUCUCAAUACCCACUACUUAGGGCUCUGCAGAGUCAACUUUGUAUUUGAAUAUAUUUAAGGUAGACAGAAUACUAAGUAGACCUGUUACAGAAAUCACAAUGACUACUUGUUAGCGCCACCACAUGGUAAGUGAGGAAACGAAAGCUGUGAUUAAUUCUGUUCAAGUUUUGUGACACUGCACAGGUCAAAAAGUGCUCACACCUGAGCAGAAGUCAAUAGACCUCUUCAUAUACACAUAAGGUUAACGACAUUCACAGGCAAGAAGAAAGUCAAUGCUUGAACAAGUAAUGCUCUUUCAAGAACUACAAGUCCCAGAGUUCCUUAGUCCCUGUCAGCAUUUCCUGUACAAAAGGCUGGAUGCACCAAAAAGGUCUGGAUGUCCCACCUCCAGGGAUGUAGUUGCAAAUUCAGAAGUGCAGGAGCGAUCCAUGAGAGCCCCCAUGGCCAUGCCCACCCCAACAGCCAGAGAGACUGAGAAGUACAGGCUCGCCGUCCCUGUGUGUCCCCCCCACUCCAAUACACCCCUGCCCAUCUCUCAGUACACUGUCACCUUCAAAUUUGCUUUUAAAAGUUGGAUGUCUGAGAUAUACUUUACUUCAGAGAAGUUUCCCUCUCGGUACCCCUGGUUGGAAGGCUGAAGAGACUAAGAGCUAGUUGAUUUUGAGAUAUAUAAUGUUAAAUGAAUAUUAAAAGAAUAUAUUGUAUGAAAUAAUUUGCCUAUUCAGAAAAUAUAAGCAUAGCCUACAAAGAUGUUUACUUAUUGUGUGUUAAGCAAUCUUUUCUAUAUUUUCUUGUAUUUAUAAAUGCUGCAAAUGGUAUCGUAAAAUAUACAAGAGUGAAUGAAGCCACCUGAAAGCAGCAGAUGGGCAGGAUUAAUCUGUAUAUUUUUAUGCAAAGGACAUUUUAUGCCAGGCAGACAAUAAACACAGCUUAUUUUUCUCUCA